UACGUAGGGACCAAGCGUUAUUCGGAUUUACUGGGCGUAAAGGGCGCGUAGGCGGCUUAACAAGUCACUUGUGAAAUCUCCGGGCUUAACUCGGAACGGCCAAGUGAAACUGUCAAGCUAGAGUGCAGAAGGGGCAAUCGGAAUUCUUGGUGUAGCGGUGAAAUGCGUAGAUAUCAAGAGGAACACCUGAGGUGAAGACGGGUUGCUGGGCUGACACUGACGCUGAGGCGCGAAAGCCAGGGGAGCAAACGGG
rnacentral:rRNA from 1 species